rnacentral:rRNA from 1 species
UACGUAGGGGGCAAGCGUUGUCCGGAUUUAUUGGGCGUAAAGCGCGCGCAGGCGGUUUAUUAAGUCUGAUGUGAAAGCCCACGGCUCAACCGUGGAGGGCCAUUGGAAACUGGUAGGCUUGAGUGCAGGAGAGGAGAGCGGAAUUCCCGGUGUAGCGGUGAAAUGCGUAGAUAUCAGGAGGAACACCGGUGGCGAAGGCGGGUCUCUGGGCAAUAACUGACGCUGAGGAGCGAAAGCGUGGGGAGCGAACAGG